rnacentral:misc_RNA from 1 species
CAUGCCAAUGCUAUUUUUGGUCAUGUAUAAAAUAUACAAUUAUACAUCUAACGGGUCUCUUGAUUUCGUUAAGUUUUAUACUGUUUAACUCCAUAUCUUCUCGAUAAAAUGAUAAAAAAAAAUCUAGUGGGGUUUUCAUUCCUCUUUGACGUCCGAGGCCCUAAAAAUUCAUUAAUCACUAUAGCAAUUUGAACUUUUCGUUUUGGUCAUAAGGUUCUCAACAAGAUGACUAUUCUUUACUUGCUAGGCACUAUUUAUAGUUUACAGGCUCAAUGAUCCAGUUAUUUAACAUAUAAAAGGGACGGUACGGAGAUAAAAACCAGAUGUAUGUGAAUAUCCUUUGAUGCAAGGCAGUGUUUCCUGUUAAAUAUGGCUCACAUGAUGAUGUUCAAAUUACUUCUAAUAUGGAUAUUAAUAUUAAGGCCUGCUCAAUCAAACAUAUUAGAAGAAACUAACUCUAUUGACGAAAGCGGUAAAUACCAUUUCAGUUUCAAAACGUCCAACGGACUAACCAGGAAUGAAGUAGGUACAGUGAAGAAUGACCAGAAGAAAAGUGUUGAAGGCUCCUACUCUUACACUGAUCCGAAUGGCAACGAAGUGAUCGUUCAAUACAAAUCCGACGAAAACGGCUACGUCACUGUGAAGGAUGUCGAAGGAGUAGAAUCAGCAACAGAAGCACCGCUGAAAAGUCCAACAAUACUGUUAUCACACCAACUGAAAAUGCCAGCUAUUGUGUGGGUCCGUCAACCUGUAAUCUCACCAUUUGUACUAUUCAAUCAACUUGGUAUAUCAACAUUCACAUUGCGCCAUCUGCUAGCAAAACCUCCACCGACGCAUCGGACAAAAAUAUUAUCAGCUGUGAAUUCCUACAGGCUGGAAAAACCAACAGUCAUGCCGGUUACUGAGCCGCAGGAAAAACCAAAUGUAACAUCAGAUCUCAGUCAAACCCUGUCAAACGUUCCGGCCACAGUAUCAUAUGUGCCUUCCCAUUCGGGACAAAUGUCAACAACUGCGCCUGACAAUAAGCUACACAACCAAACAAUAUCGUUUGUGCCUUACAGCGAUAUAAUAGACAUACCAAACCGUCAGCCGGACGUCACUCAGGAGGUAGUGCCACCACCCGUGCUCUAUACUCUACUAGGUGGCAGCAGCGGUUAAUAUUAGCCAAAGAAUUUGAAUUAAUUUGGAUUUGGUAUAAAUAUAUAAGGAAUACGCUUUAGCCUUUUACCAUUGCAUAUCAACUUAUUUUUUGUAGAGAUGACAGUAUAAUUAAUACAAAGUACUCCGCGUUGGAAUCAGCUUACGACUUUGUGCCGGUGGCGAAUGAGACGGCGGGGCCUUGGGGCUCAGAGGCUCGCUCCUUUUUCAAAGAGUUAGGGCGUCGUUUGCGGGAGAGGGGCUGCGAUCCUCGUUCUGGGUCGUAUCUGAUCCAACAGGUCUCCAUUGCAGUCCAGCGAGGUAAUGCAGCGGGAAUAAUGGGGACUUUUGAGCCAGAGCUCUUGAAGUGAAACUAUCAAUUGCCUAUUUGAAAUUGCCGCAAUAUUGUGUUUAAUAUUGCAUUUAUUUACAUGAAGAAAGCAAUACUUUUAAAAUUAUUAUUGUCAAUA